rnacentral:lncRNA from 1 species
AGACCUUCCUUUGCGGCCGGCCCAGGGUUCUAGACUUCGGGGCCAAGGGCCGGAAGCGCUGCGGAGAGUUUAGUUCGGGCGGGAGGCUGUCUCGGGCCCACUCUCGGAAGAACUUCUGCAAGACGGGUUGAAACACCAUUUCAGUCUGUUCCCAUACUUAAGCAGUUUCAGGUCUCUGGACAGAAAUUAACAAUGUGAACAAGUUGGGUGAUGAAGCACAGAUAAAGUCCUUAAAAUACAUCUUAAGUUUACAGUCCCUU